GAGGCAAGAUUAUAAGUUUAAGGUCAUGAUCGGCACACUGUGAAACUACACAAUCAUGUAUUUACAACUUCGCAUAUUAUUGGUACUACUACUUUCUUGUUUUUUUUUCGGUCGGAGGCGAAAAGGUACGCGGGCGCGGACGUUAAACAACGAAAAAAGAAAGGGUGGCCUAACGGAUGCAAACUAUCCAAGAGUUUCAGUACAUGUACCAAAUACAACAACCAUGAUAACGGUGUGUGCUUUUCUUCCAUUGUAAUUUGCUCCAUACGCAGGAUCAGCCCCAGCAUACUCAAAGCCCUAUGCCGAUAGCAUUCCUGAAGUCCCGUCUAGUAAAGACGUCUAUGAAGCGGUGUGCAUCAGGAAGUGUCGGCCUCCCUUGCCGAAACAUUGGCUGGAAAAUGAGGUGCUGAGUGUCAUUCAUCGUAUCAUCAACACGUCCUGGAAGGAACACGGCCAGAAACGCUUCUCAGCCAAUCGAAUCUGGCGCAAUGUCCAAGCCCUGGAGACUGUGAAAGUAAAACGGCCAGACAACACUGUAACGUGAAACGGAAUGACUGCGUACACCUCACGCAAUCGCAUCCCUUGCCCCGUUUCUCAACAAGACACAUCCUCGCCAAAAAGAACUGAUUUAAAGCAUACUUGACUCGAAUGCCUUGUUUGCAGGAGCGGUAGAUGCACGCUUCUAUAACCCCUACCAAAACUGGUCACAGCGAAACCAAUCACAAGGAACAGAAUAAUAGGAGAGAAUUCACACGCUAAGGAGCUGGCUAAGGCUGUGGCCGGAACGCUAGGCACUUGAACAAGCAAAUGGCUUCCAUACAGUCCCUCAAACUGUACCUUGACUACCCCACUGCAGGCUAAAAAGCACAUGAGAAAAAACUAUUUUCAACUCAAUUUUAUUGCUAUUCGAUUUGUGUAUAUAGCUCUCUGGUUUCCAGAUCACCGAUGAGCCGCUCUAUCUUUAAAGUAUAUUAUUUAAUUCUAUAGAGCGUAUGGAGUACAUGCAUAUAAUAAACGUAGAGCCGGACGAUUUAUUGCAAUCUUGUCCAUGAUUACGUACAUGUACGGGUAGUUGUAUAACUGAACGCGAGGCAAGGCCCAAGUUGU